rnacentral:rRNA from 1 species
UACGGGGGGGGCUAGCGUUGUUCGGAAUUACUGGGCGUAAAGGGCUCGUAGGCGGCCAACUAAGUCAGACGUGAAAUCCCCAGGCUUAACCUGGGAACUGCGUCUGAUACUGGAUGGCUUGAAUUCGGGAGAGGGAUGCAGAAUUCCAGGUGUAGCGGUGAAAUGCGUAGAUAUCUGGAGGAAUACCGGUGGCGAAGGCGGCAUCCUGGACCGAGAUUGACGCUGAUGAGCGAAAGCUAGGGGAGCAAACGGG